UACGUAGGGUGCGAGCGUUGUCCGGAAUUAUUGGGCGUAAAGAGCUCGUAGGCGGUUUGUUGCGUCGGCCGUGAAAACCUGCAGCUUAACUGUGGGCCUGCGGCCGAUACGGGCAGACUUGAGUUCGGUAGGGGAGACUGGAAUUCCUGGUGUAGCGGUGAAAUGCGCAGAUAUCAGGAGGAACACCGGUGGCGAAGGCGGCAUCCUGGACCGGUAUUGACGCUGAGGCGCGAAAGCCAGGGGAGCAAACGGG
rnacentral:rRNA from 1 species